GAUGAACGCUGGCGGCGUGCCUAACACAUGCAAGUCGAACGAAGCUUGACGGAUGAUUUCUUCGGAAUGAAACCAGAUAUGACUUAGUGGCGGACGGGUGAGUAACACGUGAGCAACCUGCCUUUCAGAGGGGGAUAACGGCUGGAAACGGUCGCUAAUACCGCAUGAUGUGUUCGGAUGGCAUCAUCUGAACAUCAAAGAUUUAUCGCUGAAAGAUGGGCUCGCGUCUGAUUAGAUAGUUGGUGGGGUAACGGCCUACCAAGUCUACGAUCAGUAGCCGGACUGAGAGGAUGAACGGCCAAAUUGGGACUGAGAGACGGCAGAGACUCCUACGGGAGGCAGCAGUGGGGAAUAUUGCACAAUGGGGGAAACCCUGAUGCAGCAACGCCGAGUGAAGGAUGACGGUUUUCGGAUUGUAAACUUCUUUUCUUAGUGACGAAGACAGUGACGGUAGCUAAGGAAUAAGCAUCGGCUAACUACGUG
rnacentral:rRNA from 1 species